GAUGAACGCUGGCGGCGUGCUUAACACAUGCAAGUCGAACGGAAAGGCGCUGCUUUUGUGGGGUGCUCGAGUGGCGAACGGGUGAGUAAAACGUGAGUAACCUGUCCUUGACUUUGGGGUAACUUCAGGAAACUGGGGCUCAUAUCGGAUAGGAGCUCCUGAUGCGUGGUGGGGGUUGGUAAGUUUCGGCGGUUGGGGAUGGACUCGAGGCUUAUCAGCUUGUUGGUGGGGUAGUGGAUUACCAAGGUUUUGACGGGUAGCCGGCCUGAGAGGGGGACCAGCGACAUUGGGACUGAGGUACGGCGCAGACGCCUACGGGAGGCAGCAGUGGGGAGUAUGGCACAAUGGGCGGAAGCCUGAUGCGGCAACGCUGCGUGCGUGAUGACGUCCUUCGGGGUAUAAACCGCUUUCGCCUGUGACGAAGCGUUAGUGACGGUAAUGGAUAAAGAAGCACCGGCUAACUACGUG
rnacentral:rRNA from 1 species